rnacentral:lncRNA from 1 species
AUCCAGAUUACAUACUAUGUACAUACUAUGUACUGAUUAAGGUUUUUGUUACUGGAACCUCCAUGCCCCUACCCGGUCCUCAGAAAAUGUUUCCUGCAUGAAACUGGUCCCUUGGUACAAAAAAGGUUGGGGACCACUGAUUUAAAGGAAAGAAUGUGUCAAUUUGUAUCACAGGGUAAGAGCUCAAAGAGUCGCAAGACAUGCAUCUGUGAUUGUAUGGGGGUGUGUGUGCCAAUGGCCAUGGCUAACUAUCAAUGCAAUCAUUUCCAUGAGGUAUUUUAUCAUAAUAAUUAGUUUGCACUGCUUACAUGGUAGUUCUUCUGUCUCAGUGUCUUGGUCUGAUUGCAUUUCCAUGAAGUAAUAACUAAAAAUGUUCUUCCUUGAGCUGCGAGACUCCGCUGCACUCUGUGAUCAACUCGUCAGGGCUCCCCCACCAACAAGCAGCUGCUGGAGGAGAGUGGGUGAGUUGUGUUUGAUCUCCUUGCUAAAGAAUACAGGCAAAGAUAAAAAGAUGUUUAAUGGCUAGUACUAUGGCUGGGACCCUAUGUACAUUUACUGUUGAUUAAGUUAGGUGCUGUUCUGAGCAUUAUUUGUGGCUAUAGAGUGGCGUUUUGGUUGAGGUUUGCAGUGGAGGCAUCGACCACUGUGUAUUGCUAUCGUGUGGUUGUUGCAAAAGUUGGUCUAACUAGAGAGGCAAGCGUUCGGCAAAAUUCAUCUCUCGAGGGGGUGUCUAACUCAGUGUUACGGUGUGUUUGACCAUGACUUGAACUUAUGCUGGAAUAUCCCUUUUAUACUGAAAGAUACAUACAGGUUCUGGAACAAGAUAUAGUGCCAUCCAAGCCAUGUCUUUUUCAGGGAUGUCCUGGCUUAUUUCAGCAAGACAAUGCCAAGACACAGUCUGCUUGUGGUUAGAACAGCAUGGCUUCGUAGUAAAAUAGUGUGGGUACGAGGCCUGUACUUCUGCAGCUUGAACAGUUUGUGUCCUCAGUUCCAAAACACUUACAGAGUGUUGUUAAAGGGUAAAGUGAUGUAACAGGGGUAAACACAACCCUGUCCCAGCUUUUUUGGGGAUAUGCUGCAGGCUUUAAAUUCAAAAUAAGUGAAUAUUUGCAAAAAAUAAAGUUGAAUAUGAUAAUGGACAUUGCAUGUUUUGUCUUUGAAGUGCAUUCAGUUGGAUAUAGGUGGAAAAGGAUUUGCAAAUCAUUGUAUUGUAUUGUAUUUAUUACUACUUCUGUAACUGGGAUUUGUACUACUAUGACAAAGUACCAUACUCACACUGUUCCUUCCCUAUUUUCCUUCAGCACAACAUCUUAGUCAAUGGCGGUGUGACGAUGCUUUACAAGCCAGACAUGUACGUUACUUCCUGUUCAUAAGAGGAAUCUCCGAAGGAAAAAAAAUCCCCUCUGCUAAACAUACAGCAGAGCCCAGACAUGCCUAAGAUAGCUCCAAGCAGUUCUCCAUUGUGAGCACUAAAGUAUGCACUUCCAUGCGUCUGAACACAAACAAAGAAAAGGAGAAGUGGGGAAGUGUGUACAACUUUUUGUGCGUGUGCCAGACUGGGAGAAACAGCAGCAGAUACUCAUAGUUUACCUUUGUGAACCGCAGACUUCUUCAUUCAUUCUUUUCAGGCUACAAACAAAAAAAAAAGGUGACUAGUAAACAUGUGUGUAGCUGCAGGAGCUGCCACUGAAGCUUCAGGGUUAAACAAGGCUGAGUAAUAAACUUGUAUCAACAGAGUGCACACAAAUGAGUGUUUACAGCUAUUAAAAGCUGCCUGAUUCAAGUUAUGGCUCACAGAAAAACGUAAAAAGUAGAUAAUAAUAGUGUAGGGAACUCAAGAUGCUAGUGUGCACAUUUCUCCGGAUAUGUCAAACAUGAAUUAUAUGUUGUAAAAAGAGGGGAUUAACCGUGCAGCUCUGAGGGUUUGGAGCCUCAAAUUUAACAUAUCACAGAGAUUCUCCUGCAGUUGGCUACUCUGCGUUUGGUUUACAUGUCUCGUUAGUGUCCACAUUAAUAUCUACCUCCUGUGCUUUCUCCCUUCUGGUAGCAUUCCUGCUGUCUAGACAAACAAAUAUGACAGGUCUAGGCCCACAGCUCGGACAGCCUUAGGUAUGAUUGCUCAUGGCCGUCAACAUUUGAUCAAUCUUUCACAAGUAAAUCUUCCAGGGAGAAUUCUAAGAAACCGUUUCAAAGCAGUAGUCCGGAUCCAGGGCCAAACCACUGGUAGUAAACAUCAUAGGAACUGGCAUUAAAUACAGCUUUCGUAACGAAAAGCAAUUCAUGUCAUUUAUUAUUUCAUCACCACAAUCAGGAAAGAUUUCCAGUCCCUAGAAAGUAAUGCAUCACACUGGAGACAAACAAGUAUAACAGAAAACAGGAGUAGAAUUAAGAAAACGAGUUUGAUCUCUCAAUUAGACCAUCUAUGAGUCUGUUUUUGUCAAAAUAAGAUUUGUUUAUUGGAAUGAAAUUUUAAAAAAAGGGAGAAAAUGCAGAUAAACAACAUUUGGGUAACAUAAAAGCAGCAUGUCUCUGUUUACAACGCUAUGGUCUUUAUUUCUGUGAAACACACAAGCGAGGAGCAGGCCUCUCAUAAAUCUGAGCACAAGACGGACUCUCUAAUGUUCUCCGCAGACAUGUUGUGGCUGCUUGGUACGUGCCAUGUCACCGGGCCAAAUGUAGUAGCGCUGUAAAUCAUGAUCUUACAUUUCCAGAGAGGAUGUAAAGUGAAUGCAUUUUUUUUCCGGAUGCUACAUGUAUCAUUCUGAAACUUGAGAUGUAAUGAUAGUUUGAAACUUCAAACGUGUUCAACCAACUCAAACUUCAACUAUAGAGCUCUAAAAGAAAAGAGGUGCCACCAAAAGCAAGAUGAUGCAGGAUAGUGUAAAAAAAGACAUAAAAUACAGCUAUUUUGGGACACUCACGCCAAACAGGAGUAAAAUCAUCGACUCACUUAAUCCUGCGAAGCUAGACGCUUGAGAAUAGUAUUUACUCGCUUCAUUUAUGUGUCAACGGUAAUUUCAGCGGCAAUCCCUGCUAAUUCAACUGGCGGGAUCAAGUGAUAGACAAACGUUUUUUACAAUUUACCAGGUAAUCUGAACUCUUUGCUCACUUGCUUCCAGAUGAGCUCCUUUUAAUUUCGGUUUCAGUAAUUGUAAGAAAAGGUAUCAUAUACCGCCCAAUUCACGGCACUGGAGUAGUACGAGCAUCUAAUCACGCCUUUGCCUUGACUUCACAUGUAAUUCAGUCACUUGAAUGAUUUUACUCGCACUUGGUGUGUGGAGACAAUAAGCCUUGGCUUUAGUCUAAUGGCUAUGAAAUAUCACAGUGCAGUAACUUUAAAGUAAACCUGUUAUACCCCUUUUCACCUUUUAUUAUGCUAGUCUAGGUCAGCCAUGGUGUAGCUUUAGAUGACAUGCAGCUAAGAACAUAAUAUCUUAAACUUAGUAUGUUUACAUGCACGUUUCGGUUGAGCUGCAGACUUCGCAUGAUUAUAUGAUUUAUUUAGACUCCUGUCCUUGUCUCAGUUUACAAGCACCGAGCAAAAAUUCUUGUUUUGGCAGAAGUAGCUCCACAUCUGCUACAUGACAACAAAUCGACUUUCAGCGCAUUACUAAUCGGCUGUUUCCCAGUUGACUGAAUAUGUCAAAAUAAUCAACAAAUGCUUUAACAAAAGGGCUGAUGGAUUGUACUUCGAAAGAUGACAAACACCGUCAAUUUUACAUAGGAUACCAAAGUUUUGUCUUUUUUCCUCUGAUCAGGAUUUGUUAAUUACAUAUUCUAGAUGUCGCUGCCAGAAUACAAACUACGGAGCAUUCAGAGAACACUUAAGAGAUAAUCAACUCGGUCCAACUGCAGGUAAAUCAUGUGAUUUUUUCACACUAAUGUGUUCAAAUGUGUUUUAAAAGCUCAUUUUUUUUAAGUUUGGAUCAACUUAAUAAAUCUGUCUUUUUGAAUAACAUGUAAAUGUACUUAGUUGCACUUGUAAAAACUGUAAUUUCAGUGCUAUCCAUCUUCUCCCUGAAACACUUUUUAUUCUUACUUACAGUGUGUAGUUGUGAGCCAUUAUGGAGGGUCUCUGCGGUCAAAAAAGCCCCAGGUUCCAGUAACAGCUGAGAGGCAAAUCCAGCUUGCACUGGUAAAGUAGGUGAGGACAAACAAAGCUGCUGUUUCCUAACAAGUCAAAAACUUCUGUGUUUUUCAGAGUCUUGUCUUUGGGAUGAGAAAAUAUCUUUGCCGUUCCCUCAAAAUCAAGAGAACACUUAAGAGUAAUUUUCUGCAAAAUGCUGCAUCAACGAAGCCCAGAGCAGAGGGGAAACAGAUUUUUUAACUCCCAAAUAGACAUCUCCUGACAGCUGCAGUGUCCCAAGAGGACGACACAACCUCAAACCGUGCCUUUUAAAAAAGCUGUUUAAAGAACAAGAAAAACAUGUCCCAGGCUUAUGCCAUCAUCCCUGUGUUGCAUUUCAUGUUAUGAAACAUAGGCAUCUAACACUGUUGCAGUAUAUGUAUCUACUGAAGGAUGGAUAAGAAUUAAAGGUCUCCUUAAAAAACCCAAAUUCAGCAAGUUUGUGCAAACUCCAUACAGUGUACUUUUUAUUAGUUGGACCAUCUGUAGUGAAUUUCUAACAGGGAGAAGAGAGAUGCAGGUAUGUAACAAACAGAGAGUGAGUCCAGCUUUCUCACUGCUGUUUUUGUGGAUUUGACAAUCUUUUGAGUUACGAUUUGGCCCUCCACGUGAGUGCAGAAAGGGUCCAGUGCUACAAGGUUUAUUUUGGCCAUGCAGCACAGUCUCAGUAUGGAUAUUCUGUUAAUAAAAACCUUGCCUUGUGUUUAGUUAAAGUUAAAUAAGGACUUGAAUCUGACCUUAAAUUACUCUAUGGAAGCAGGCUCAGCUGGAGAUAAAGGUAAAGUUUCUUUGAGCGCAUUAUUAGAAGAAUUACAGCAGCAGGUUUUUAGAUAACACACAUCUUGAAAUGAGGUAUGGACUGCUAAAUGACCUGAUGGCUGUAAUGUCUGUCACUACUGUGAGGAUCUAGGGAGCUUUGACAGACACUGUAGCUAAUGGUACUUUUCUCUGCAGCACAGAAUCCAUCAAGAUAAGCCUCCAGACUGCCGUUUACUUACGCCGCACCACAAAGUUUGAAAAGUUGUACAACUCAUGAGAGCCCAUCCCACUGACAGCGCCAAUCAGAUGUGCAGCUGCUUUUUUUUCCUACCGCUGCUUUGUAUCAUAAUUCAUCCCCCAAAGUAUGUGAUGCUGCUUUUUCAUCUCGGGGCUCACACAUGCACAUCAGCCAAGCCACAGCUGACGCCACAGAGCUACUGUAGGCAAAAAAACCAGAGCGUACUGUUACUUUCGCCCUGUGCUGUCUGCCUACUCCUGCCCCACAGCCGGUCUGCCCCUGAAAGGCAGUCUGCUUCUGAUUAUGUGUGAUCAUCCUCCAGCUUGCCAGCCACAUUUCAGACUCAUGGGAGUCCUUUUUCCCCUCAAAUCUGGCCCCCGUUCAAAUGGAAUUACACUGUAGCUUGUCUAAGCUGUUGUUAAUUGCAUUUAUGGCAGCUACCAGCACUCAUCAAGAUCCCUGCUCGACUUGUUCUAUAGAGUUUUUAUGCAUCAAUUUAAACGUCAUCACAUUUGUAACACAUAUAGGUCACCCUUAAGUGCUGGACUUUUAAAACUUAUUAAUACCCCAUCAAGUUUCAUUAGACACACACCAUUAAGAAUUUAAACUUAAUUUUGAUUCUUAAAUUCUUAAUGCCAGCAGAGUGCUUAAUACUGCAGCGACUUAACACUGUUGUCAUCACUGCAGUUGGUGAGAUGGAUGCAUUUUAAUGACCUUAAAUAAAGAUAUAAAUGCAUUACUUUGCAAUGCAUUAGCAUAUUCAUAACAUUUGUCAGUCAUUUCUGAACACACCACAUGAGCCAACAACACCAUGUGUUUUCACCUCUCUGUGUCGGUUUAUGGUAACAUAUAUCACAGUAUCAUGUAAUGGAUUCGGUAUUUUGAUAAACGAUAAUGGUGGAGUAAUUAAGGAAAUAGGCUGAAAAGUAAAUCUCAGUAUUUUCCUUUAACACAGGCAAAGCCUGAGGAAUCAAACCCGCGGAUUUGCUGGGGACAAACUGAUACGAAGACGUGGAAAACAGAGAUGAAGAACAUGUUGUGUUUGUGCUGUCAGAGGUUCAGGGUAGUUAUUUUGGGCGAAUCUUUGAAACCAUAUUUCCCUCGAACACGAGGAAAACACAUUUGGAAAUGAUACAUGAUCGUGUUUGACUUUUGAUUCCAGUUGUAGGGAUAUGCUGAAUUGUUGAAUGAUGGUAAUGAUCGCGUAAUGGUAGGAUUGCCAACAUUAAUAAGGAAAGCCAUUAUGGUCGUAUCAAUUCAUGUGCUGCAACGUGAUACUUUUUUUGUUUGUGUAGAAGAGCCCAACCCAACUUCCUCCCCUCUCUUUUCAACUCUGGCUCUACUUGACCCCAACAUGGGGCGUCAAUGUCAGGGUUAGAUACAGAAAAUACAGGGAAGGAAAUUUAUGAUGCCUGAAUUCUCAUGAAAUAACAUUAACAUAACAACUAUUAGACCAUAUUAUUUUAUUGGCAGUAGGUCUGUCACCUUGAAAGACAGGUCAUGUCCACAGCUGUUUACUAAAGAAGAGAAGGUUGAACAUGUUUAAUCAAAAGCUCAGGAAAAACAACUAAACAGAAAGUGUGAUGGAUUAUAUGAUUUUUGAGAAAAUCAUCAGUGGUUUUCGAGCCUAAAAGUGUAAAAUUAGUAAAUUUACUUGCAAGCGCUCAUUCCUCAUGGUGUCUCUGUUUACAGUAUGAUACCAAAGUUAGUAGCCCAUGUGAUUUACAGCGUCUGAUUUGGCUGUCACUGUAGGAAAACAAGAUCCUGAAAACCACUUUACCUGCUAGUCAGAUCAGAUCUAUAUUAUUUUAGGAUUAAAUCCCAUAUGCUUUUCAGUUAUGUGGGAUAUUACCCAGAAUCUCGCUUCCUGUUUGUGUGUGUGUGUUUGUGUUUUUGCAACCAGUACUUUAUAUGAAAGUUAACGACCUGCUUUUUUUCCCCUGCAAAUAAAAUCGUUAAGCCCUUCCUCCCGAAAACCCUGGGCUGGUUAAGAGUACAACCUACUUGUAUUUAGCAGGGGCUAAGGGGUAGGUCUUUUACCCCAGGACUUAAUUUAGACCCUAGAUCCAGUGGUCAAAACACACAGAGUUCCUCAAGAGGUCCUGAGUUCCUGCAGAAUGGUCCUGGGAUUCAAAAGCACCUUCAAAGAGGCUUCAGAGUCUUUAAAUUUGAGAGACCUUGUUAUGAGACCCUUUAUUUGUGACAAUGAAUUAUUAUUAUUAUUUUUAUCUU